UUUCACUUUUUGGAUGUAAGUUGUAAUUCAUGGAAUGUAUGUAUCCAAGAAUGUUAAGAAACAAACAAUUCAAGACUCCAAUAUUACAUGUGUAUUACAGACUGACAUCCCAUCUAUUCAAAAGUGGUGGUGUAUCCAGAUUCUGGAGAAAAUCUCGAUCGCAAGGCAUGGGCAGAACUUUGGGCAGCGCUGGACAGAGGAGGCAAAACAGCUGAUGGCAGGCACCCUACCACCUAUUUAUAGGAUUUAUCGACCCCCAAAUAGUCAAGGAGGAACAGGUAGAAGUGGAGGAGCUGCCCCUCACAUCGAAACACAUGUCCGAGGCAGAAUACAUUGUGAGGAACAGUGUUGGGCUUUUCACUGGCCAGAUGCAAGAGCCAACAUACAUGUUCAUGGAUCAUGAUGACCAAAGGGAAGCAUGGAGGGUGCUGGAGUCAAUGCAGUGCGAUGCUAUGGAGCCCUUCACAUUCAUUUUUGAAAAAAUCAAGGACAUGAAAACCUUUAUGAUUAUUUGCAAAGACACCCUCAACCUGAGAGUAAAUGCUGGAGUUGGCCUGCACAGUGACCCACACUCUGUGUGUGUGUGCGAGAGAGAAAGCCAGAGAUAAUUUUUACUCUUAAAUAAAACU